rnacentral:piRNA from 1 species
UGCCUAAACCGUGGACAAGCAGGACAC